CUCUCUGUUGAUGUAUAUUAUGUUUUCAAUUUCAAACAAUAGCUAAUGAUUCUAUGAUGAUUCUUCGACUGCCUUGCUGCUCCUCCGAAGAUCUCCAAUCUCUUCCAGUUUUGAAUCUGAGCGAUUGUGUACACAAUUAGGGUUCAUGCUAAUAAUCUGAAUUUGAUUCUGUAAUAAUGUCGGGGAGUCGGCAGACUAUUUCACUGGUCGAUUUCUUUGAUUCUACGGUUAGUAAACGACAAAAGGAAAAAGAAUCAGAGAUGUAGAGAUGUGUUGUUGAUCUACAAUAUCAGAGUGGAAUCAAAAUCCUCAUCUUCAUCUUCAUCUUCCGACUUGAUACAGAGCCGGUGUGGGAUCUGAGUUUGUUCUUCAUCUAGGGUUUUGAUGAUGAGAGCAAUUGUGUGAUGAGCUUGCCUUGCUCUCAAGAAAUCGGGUUCCGCCGCGAGCGGAGAGACAACUGCUUUGUUGUUGUUUAGGUCAGCGAUGGCGUACGAACGGGGAUUCAGCUGAUAUUGAAAAUAUCACCCUAUUUGAUCGAUUUGACUUACACCAGACUGAUGCAGGUCGAUUCAAACAGUUUGAGAGGUUUGACAUUGAAGGGGAUGAUAUUGACGGGGAUGAUGUGACACUAGAGAUAUUUCCUUCAAAUAACCAUUCCAUUGACCUACCAAACACUCUUAUAACCUCCCCUCUUAACAAGAUGAGCCUAAAAACUAAAAUAUGAUUUAUCUAGGAAUGGAAAGGAGCAACGAGUCGAACCGGAAUAUCAAUUGACAGUCUGGCUCUUUUUCGACUUGACUUCCAUUUAAGAUUUUGUCAAAGUCAGCAACCAACUCCGUCAUGGAAACCGUGGAUCCGGAAAUAUCCGCAACGUGCAAAGACCUCGCGGAAGUAAAAAAAGGUAUUCCAACUCGCGCUUUUGUGCACCAAGCGUCAACCAUCCGAGCGACCAACAAUGCAUGAAGUAGUUCGCGUCCUCAGCAGCAUACUCCCCGCACGCAAACACAACCCCACGGGUCCCACCGUUCUACUCCCGUCUUCAAAAGUCAAGCUACAUGGACGAGUACGCCAACCUCAAGACGCCACAUCUCGUCAACUGCUCAUCCAUUAGCACCUCAGAUGCCCAACUGUUUAUGAAAUUUGGUAAGGUUAUAUCCCAAAACAUAGGGGUGUUCAAAAAAUCCGAAUCGGAUAAUCCGAAGUUUCAGAUUUGGAUUCGGAUGUGAUUUUUUAAAAAUUCGGAUAAUCGGAUUAUCCGAUAUCCGAAAACUUAAAAAAAAUAAAAAAUAUAUAGAUAAUAUAUCCCAUGUAUACACUAAUCAGUAUACACACCACACAAAAAUUAGGAUUUUGUAAUUUUAGUUCCGGCUCGUCCCUAAUCCCCUUCGCUGUUUCAAUCGGAAUGUGAUACGUCACCUACUCGCCCUCCAUUGCCGGUCGCCUUCAUCUCCUUCCUGGUCUCCGUCGCCCCCAAAGGUUGUUUCCUUUAUGUUCAAGAGUGUCUAUAAAGACAAGAUCUGUAGAUUGUUCACUUUUGGCAAAACAGUGAUUAAACUUUAAAGUAAUAAAAUGUCUAUAUUGACCUUGGUUAUGGAACACUAUGGUAUUUGUAGCAAGUACAAUGUCUAUAUUGGCCUUGGAACACUUUAAAGUAGUAAAAUGUCUAUAGUGGCCUUGGUUAUGCUAUUUUAGUCUA